CCUACGGGAGGCAGCAGUGAGGAAUAUUGGUCAAUGGCCGGAAGGCUGAACCAGCCAAGCCGCGUGAAUGACGAAGGUGCCAAGCAUUGUAAACUUCUUUUGUCAAGGGACAAAAUCAGGCUCGAGAGCCUGACCGAGGGUACUUGAAGAAAAAGCAUCGGCUAACUCCGUGCCAGCAGCCGCGGUAAUACGGAGGAUGCGGGCGUUAUCCGGAUUUAUUGGGUUAAAGGGGUGCGUCGGCGGGCUGUUAAGUCAGCGGGAAAAGCCCGGGGCUCAACCCCGGCUAGCCGUUGAAACUGGCUGUCUUGAGACGUCGAAAGGCAGGCGGAAUGCGCAGUGUAGCGGUGAAAUGCUUAGAUAUGGCGAAGAACUCCGAUUGCGAAGGCAGCAUACCGGCGGCGAUCUGACGCUGAGGCACGAAAGCGUGGGUAUCGAACAGGAUUAGAUACCCGUGUAGUC
rnacentral:rRNA from 1 species